UUUUAUUAAGUACUGCUGAGCUGCUCUCCAAAGUGGUCGUUCCCAUUGAUCACGACCCGCAGCUCAGAAGAAUUCCUUUGCUUCCACAUCCUUGCUGCACACGAUAUUGUCAGCUUCCAUAAAAACAGAUGUGGUGAAGGCUAAGCUGACUUGAGCUGCAGUGUAUGCUCCCCAUCUAAGAAUUCUCCACUUUGGAACCGUUGAAGAAUCCCUGUUGCAACCUAUAUUCAUUAAGCCGGACUCUGGGUGUGAGACACAGGCAGAGAAUUUGUAUGAUACAGAAUUUAUUAGAAUUCCUGUGAUUCAAUUUCCAGCUGAAUUAAUGUGAAAUACUGAUGACAAAGGACCUGAGCUGCUGCAAUCACAUUCCUAACCCACUGCCCCAUGGUGGGAACUCCAAAUAUAUUCAUGUUUAAGAUGUUAAUAUAUCCACAAGACAAGAAUACAUCCACAAGAAAAAGCAACACUCAAAGUGAUAUAGUCACCGUUUCCUUGGUCCCCAUCUUGCUGUAGCAAAGCAUUGGAAUGGCAGAUGUUUUCCAAAUUUAUUAAAGUGAAAAGUACAUUUUCAGAGAGGAAGAGAGAGGACUCACAUGCAUGCAGGUUAAAAAGAGGGUCUGA